rnacentral:rRNA from 1 species
CCUACGGGAGGCUGCAGUGAGGAAUAUUGGUCAAUGGACGAGAGUCUGAACCAGCCAAGUAGCGUGAAGGAUGACUGCCCUAUGGGUUGUAAACUUCUUUUAUAUGGGAAUAAAAUGUUCCACGUGUGGGAUUUUGUAUGUACCAUAUGAAUAAGGAUCGGCUAACUCCGGACCAGCAGCCGCGGUAAUACGGAGGAUCCGAGCGUUAUCCGGGUUUAUUGGGUUUAAAGGGAGCGUAGGUGGAUUGUUAAGUCAGUUGUGAAAGUUUGCGGCUCAACCGUAAAAUUGCAGUUGAAACUGGCAGUCUUGAGUACAGUAGAGGUGGGCGGAAGUCGUGGUGUAGCGGUGAAAUGCUUAGAUAUCACGAAGAACUCCGAUUGCGAAGGCAGUUCACUGGACUGCAACUGACACUGAGGCUCGAAAGUGUGGGUAUCAAACAGGAUUAGAUACCCGGGUAGUC